AAUGUCUUCCUUUACUAACUGCAUGCGACUUAGCUCUACCUAUAUUGUUUAAUACGUACUGAUGAAUUCAGCAGCGAAUUAGCUAAUGCUGCUAAUGCUUUUUACAUUUUUUUUUCACAAUGAACAGUCUUCUUUGUGUAGUUUUCAUUAUAUUGCACUCUUAUUUUUCAUUAUGUACAUGCCUGCAAUUCGCAGCUCGCUGUUUUUGUUGUUGUAUGGUAUUGUUGUUUUGCCUUCAUUUGUUUUGUCUGGUCCUUUGUAGUUUGAAUGUUGUCACAUGAUCCAAAUAGGACAAGCUGCAAGAUCACCACCCCAUUGGGAAGAAACUAAAUCACGACCCCCAAAUGGUAGUCUUCCCAUGCAGAUACAGGGAUGUCACACAGAUCCAAAUGGAAACAUCGAACACUGUAAAACCCACUGUGCAGACAGGACCAAUGGUGACAAUAUAAGACCAUGCCGAGUUUCAUGGACGGUUCAAACUCAUCCUGCCCAGGAACGGCUGAAAACGUUGACAGUCAAUCAACAGGGGGACAUGGAAAGAGAGGAUUGGAAGUGAAAUAGAGGGUUUUUCGGGACAGCCAUAGGGGAAGGACUGUGGCAUCUUCAUGUUGAUGACUGAUAUGCCAACUCUGAGGAAGUGGUGGUGUAUAUUGCUAGCGGACAAUUUCAAACUUGGGUGCAUGGUGAGCCACAGGAAAGAGUUUGCCCAUUGGACAGAUAAGGCAAAAGCAUUACUGCAGGGUGAAGUGCCACCAGUCUAUCAGCUACAGAAGUGAAAUUUGAAUAUGAUUGCUGAGGAAGAGGUGCAACCACAGCUCCUUCAAGUUAGUGGUGGCCCACUCCAAAAAGAUAUGACGGGAAAAAAAUGUUUUGGUAAAAGGACUGUGCAAGACUGCACAAAAGCCUCGGACAGGGCUGUGGGGGGGGGGGAUUAAUGCAGUAAUGCAGUAGGAGUUCCCAAGCAUCCUGCAGAUGGAAGAGGAUGAGCACGAACUACAAUGUCUUGGAGCCAUUCAAGUUCUGUUUCAACCAUCUGGAAGAUGGAUUUACCUUUUUUGAGGAGAUUGUUGACCAAAGAAAAUAUCUGGUAUUCUCUCAAUAAUAAUAAAAAAAUAAUAAAAAUAAAAAAAUAAAGUUUAC